UACGGGGGGGAGCAAGCGUUGUUCGGAUUUACUGGGCGUAAAGGGCGCGUAGGCGGCCACCGCAAGUCGACUGUGAAAUCUCCGGGCUUAACCCGGAAAGGUCAGCCGAUACUGCGGGGCUAGAGUGCAGAAGGGGGCAACUGGAAUUCUCGGUGUAGCGGUGAAAUGCGUAGAUAUCGAGAGGAACACCUGCGGCGAAGGCGGGUUGCUGGGCAUUACCUGACGCUGAGGAGCGAAAGUGUGGGGAGCGAACAGG
rnacentral:rRNA from 1 species